GUCUUUUUGAUUUAAAUAUAAAGUAUAACCUGCCCAUUGAAAAUUUUAAAAGGCUGCGGUAUACUGACCGUACAAAGGUAGCAUAAUCAUUAGUUUUUUAAUUGAGAACUUGUAUGAAUGGUUGAAUGAGAAAUUAACUUUUUUAAUUAAAAUGUUGAAUUUUACAUUUUAAUUAAAAGGUUAAAAUGAUUUUAAAAGACGAGAAGACCCUAUAGAGUUUUAUAAUUUAUAUUUAAUGUUUUAAAAAAAUUAAUAGAUAUCUUAUUUUAAUAAAUUAUUUUAUUGGGGUGAUAAUAAAAUUUACUUAACUUUUAUUUUUUUUUACAUUAAUUUAUGGGAAAUUGAUCCAUUACUAAUGAUUAAAAAAUUAAAUUACCUUAGGGAUAACAGCGUAAUUUUUUUUUUAAGUUCAUAUUAAUAAAAAAUUUUGCGACCUCGAUGUUGGAUUAAGAUUUAAUUUUAGGUGCAGAAGUUUAAAAUUUAAGUCUGUUCGACUUUUAAAUUCUU
rnacentral:rRNA from 1 species